rnacentral:rRNA from 1 species
CCCUUAGAUGUCCUGGGCUGCACGCGCGCUACACUGAUGUGUCCAGUAAGCACCUAACCUCUUCCGAAGGGAACGGGUAACCUUAGCAAAGCACGUCGUGAUGGGGAUAGAUUAUUGCAAUUAUUAGUCUUGAACGAGGAAUUCCUAGUAAGCACAAGUCAUCAGCUUGUGUUGAUUACGUCCCUGCCCUUUGUACACACCGCCCGUCGCUCCUACCGAUUGAAUGUUCCGGUGAAUACUUCGGACUGCGAGGUCUGCAGUUUCUGCGUUCCUUGCGGAAAGUUGAAUAAACCUUAACAUUUAGAGGAAGGAGAANUCGUANCA